rnacentral:rRNA from 1 species
CCUUGACAUGCGGAGAACUUCCAGAGAUGGAUUGGUGCCUUCGGGAACUCUGACACAGGUGCUGCAUGGCUGUCGUCAGCUCGUGUCGUGAGACUGUUGGGUUAAGUCCCGUAACGAGCGCAACCCUUGUCCUUAGUUACCAGCACGUUAUGGUGGGCACUCUAAGGAGACUGCCGGUGACAAACCGGAGGAAGGUGGGGAUGACGUCAAGUCAUCAUGGCCCUUACGGCCUGGGCUACACACGUGCUACAAUGGUCGGUACAAAGGGUUGCCAAGCCGCGAGGUGGAGCUAAUCCCAUAAAACCGAUCGUAGUCCGGAUCGCAGUCUGCAACUCGACUGCGUGAAGUCGGAAUCGCUAGUAAUCGUGAAAUCAGAAUGUCACGGUGAAUACGUUCCCGGGCCUU